GUUCAGAACGAACGCUGGCGGCAGGCUUCAUACAUGCAAGUCGAGCGAUAAAAGCCCUUUCGGGGGUGUAUAAAGCGGCGAACGGGUGAGUACAGGGUGGAUAAUCUGCCUUCCGGUGGGGAUAACGGCUGGAAACGGCCGCUAAUACCGCAUGCGGUUGCCGGGUUCGAGGACCUGGCAAAGAAAGAGGCUUCACGGCCUCGCCGAAAGAUGAGUCCGCCCCCCAUUAGCUAGUUGGCGGGAUAACAGCCCACCAAGGCGACGAUGGGUAGCCGAGCUGAGAGGUUGAUCGGCCACACUGGGACUGAGAUACGGCCCAGACACCUACGGGUGGCAGCAGUAGGGAAUAUUGGUCAAUGGGCGAAAGCCUGAACCAGCCAUGCCGCGUGAGUGAUGAAGGCCUUCGGGUCGUAAAACUCUUUUCCGAGGAAAGAACGACCGGGGUAGGAAAUGACCCCGGUGUGACGGUACCUCGGGAAUAAGCAACGGCUAACUCCGUGCCAGCAGCCGCGGUAAUACGGAGGUUGCGAGCGUUGUUCGGAAUGACUGGGCGUAAAGGGAGCGCAGGCGGUUUGGCAAGUCUAAAGUGGAAGCCCGGGGCUUAACCUCGGAAGUGCUUUAGAAACUGCUGAACUCGAGUUCGUGAGAGGAGAGCGGAAUUCCAGGUGUAGCGGUGAAAUGCGUAGAUAUCUGGAGGAACACCGGUGGCGAAAGCGGCUCUCUGGCACGAUACUGACGCUGAGGCUCGAAAGCAUGGGGAGCGAACAGGAUUAGAUACCCUGGUAGUCCAUGCCGUAAACGUUGUGCACUAGGUGUGGGAGGUAUCGACCCCUUCCGUGCCGUAGUUAACGCAUUAAGUGCACCGCCUGGGGAGUACGGUCGCAAGACUGAAACUCAAAGGAAUUGACGG
rnacentral:rRNA from 1 species